rnacentral:rRNA from 1 species
GACGAACGCUGGCGGCGUGCUUAACACAUGCAAGUCGAACGGAAAGGCCCUGCUUGCCGGGUACUCGAGUGACGAACGGGUGAGUAACACGUGGGUGAUCUGCCCUGCAAUUCGGGAUAAGCCUGUGCAACUGGGUCUAAUACCGGCUAGGAGCCAUUUUUAGUGUGAUGGUUGGAAAGUUUUUUCGGUGUAUGAUGAGCGCGCGGCCUAUCAGCUAGCUGGUGGGGUAAUGACCUACCAAGGCGGCGACGGGUAGCCGGCCUGCGAGGUUUGACGGCCACAUGGGGACUGCGAGACGGCCCAGACGCCUACGGUAGGCAGCAGUGGGGAAUAUUGCACAAUGGGGGCAAGCCUGAUGCAGCGACGUCGCGUGGGUGAUGACGGCCUUCGGGUGGUAAACACCUUUCGCUAGGGACGAAGCUUUUGUGACGGUACCUAGAGAAGAAGCACCGGCUAACUACGUG